CCUACGGGGGGCAGCAGUGGGGAAUAUUGCACAAUGGGGGAAACCCUGAUGCAGCGACGCCGCGUGAAGGAAGAAGGUCUUCGGAUCGUAAACUUCUAUCAGCAGGGAAGAAGAAAGUGACGGUACCUGAAUAAGAAGCCCCGGUUAACUACGUGCAAGCAGGCGCGAUAAUAGGUAGGGGGCAAGCGUUAACCGGAAUCACUGGGUGUAAAGGGUGCGUAGGCGGUAGGGCAAGUCAGAUGUGAAAGCCCGGGGAUCAACUCCGGGAUUGCAUUUGAAACUGUCUUACUAGAGUGCAGGAGAAGUAAGCGGAAUUCCUAGGGUAGCGGUGAAAUGCGUAGAGAUUGGGAGAAACACCAGAUGUGAAGGCGGCUUUCUGCACUGUAACUGACCCUGAGGCACGAAAGCGUGGGGAGCGAACAGGAUUAGAUACCCGUGUAGUC
rnacentral:rRNA from 1 species